UGGGGAAUAUUGCACAAUGGGCGCAAGCCUGAUGCAGCCAUGCCGCGUGUAUGAAGAAGGCCUUCGGGUUGUAAAGUACUUUCAGCGAGGAGGAAGGCGUUGUGGUUAAUAACCGCAACGAUUGACGUUACUCGCAGAAGAAGCACCGGCUAACUCCGUGCCAGCAGCCGCGGUAAUACGGAGGGCGCAAGCGUUAAUCGGAAUUACUGGGCGUAAAGCGCACGCAGGCGGUCUGUCAAGUCGGAUGUGAAAUCCCCGGGCUCAACCUGGGAACUGCAUCCGAAACUGGCAGGCUAGAGUCUUGUAGAGGGGGGUAGAAUUCCAGGUGUAGCGGUGAAAUGCGUAGAGAUCUGGAGGAAUACCGGUGGCGAAGGCGGCCCCCUGGACAAAGACUGACGCGCAGGUGCGAAAGCGUGGGGAGCAAACA
rnacentral:rRNA from 1 species